rnacentral:rRNA from 1 species
GAAGUGAUCGAGGUGGUCGGUCGGGGGUCAUCCGAUGUGUUUGAAACGCUCGGGUGGGCGAGAUUUCGUCGGAGCGUUCUCCGGGUCUGUUCGGAACGGUGGGAGCGGCAGAGGGCGCUGGUGCGGUGGCGGCGACGGCGCGGCACCGUGUGGCCGUACCUAGGGUCCGGCGGGCGUAAGCUGGCAGCGGCGGGGGCAAAGUGUGUUAGCGGGCUGAAUGGCCGUAAGGUCGACACUUCGUCACUGCGACGCAGUUGGGCCGCUGGGGGAGCGGCUCAGCGGCAGUCGCUCCGACAACGCAGCUAGGCGGGCGCUAGGACGCAGGCAACUCCGCAGUACCGAGCGAAAAGGCACCUCCACCUGCGCGAACAGCGCGCGCGCUCCUCUUUUAUAGAGGCCGCCCGCCUUUAUAGACCGCGGUGACGACCGCAGCAAAAGGGUAGUAAAACCCGUGGGCGGUGCAGGCCAACGCCGAACAGCGAGAGGCGCCGCUCGACACCGGUGGGCACGGGGCAGGAGAGGAGUGGAGAAGCCGGCGGGGCCUAGGCGAUAUUCUUUAGAGUGAGAGGCGUGGUGACCGGUCCACGCGUGAGGGUAGGGUAGCGUAGGCGAGGGGGGGAGAGAGGGACAAUCGUUGAGGAGGCGGGCGGAGAGCGGCCUAGGCGGCAAAGAGUCCUUUACCGGCGCGACGUUGGCAGCAAGAGCAGUGAUUACAGAUACUUGUUAUCGACGUUGUGGUACUUCAAGGGGUUCUGACGUGAAAACGGACCAAAGCCACCGUAAAGCGCAGGAGUUCUACACGUCCUGUCCUCACGAUCGGAGUGGACAAGUUCCGGAUUCCGUCAAAGUCACUGACUGGUCAGUCAUCGUCUCGGUCGUUUUGGGUCCGUUUGGUUUGUGUGUCAACUAGGACGACGAGGUCUUAAAGACGGCGAGGGCCGUAAACUUCUAACGAAGGGUGCCUCGUGGUUUCUUACGUCACUUCAGCAAGUACUCCUUUGUCCGGUACGGGACUUCCAAGGUAAGGCCUCUCAGGUAAACUGGCCUCUAUCGCCCGUAAAGCUGUGUAUACUGUGGUCACCGGGUGUUUUGUAUUCGGGUUCCGAACCUGAGGGUUUCUAUUCUUUCCUUACCUAACUGUCCUCCCUCUUCAACCCAUCAGGAGCUAUGUGGGUUUACAUGAUACGAUUCGUCCCUCAGUAUUGUCUCCUCUACAACAUGACGCGGUUUGCACUCUUGGAACGAGGACUUAAACAGGCCAGUCUUCAGCGGGCACCCGCUCGGUAAUAGGGAAGGUUGUUCUCUGUGGACCUUAACCUUGGGUACUAACAACCUUCUUUGAAGGAACAUUUCCACUUACGUUUGUAACCCUUGAGUCGACAACACUCGAGGUAACUCCUCCUUCAGGUGUUCGAGGUCACCCGGUGUUACACCCCUCGUCUAUGACAGUACCUGGAAAGUUGUCCCGCGGUAUAGGUACUCUGGGCCCUUACCUAAUAAGCAUUGAGGAGGCAAGGAUAACCUUGACAAGGCUAAAUGGUUCGUGAACUCUUUCAAUUACCAUAACGACUUCUAGACUCGACCCUUCAGAAGUCCCUGUGAAAUUAACUUGUUCGGCUCGUCCCACAACUGAUAAAGUGGUAGGUACGACCACACGACGAAGCAAUAUAAGGAGAGUGUCGUUUCUCCUACUGGCCGUAUCAAAGUGCACCGCCUAGUUAGGUACGUUUUACCACGAACUGCAUAGUGUUCCUCUUGAAACGAAUACUCGUGACCCUACUGUAAGAACUGUAAACAUUGGUCAUACUACACCGUAAUAGAUAACCACUACCGGACUCCGGCCCAAGGUAAAUACUACGAUUACUAUCGCGAGUCAAACGUCUCGACGACUGAGUUCCCCUUGAUUGAGCGGCUCGUACCCUCUUCCUACACGUCCACUACUUACUUCCAGGACCCGUAUAAGGCUACGUAUUUUAAGGACUUUUAUACCUCUUUGUCGAGCUCACCACGUUGCUUCGUGGAAAGAUAUGCGACCCAGGUAACUGUUGACUAUAACGUGGACCAAUACUAGUGUAGUGGAGUCGGUAACCACGACGGUUGUAACCCCGAGAACCGUGGCGUGAAGAAACAAUACAUUGUGGUUUCCUCGUGGAACCCAACGGAUUGUCCCUACUACAAUUCUGUCCACACUAUAGGAUGUUUUAGCGACGAGUACGACGACUAAACCGUUUCGCAGUGGGGAUACGUGUUCGUACCCUACUACGUGAUUCGUUCCGUUCCAAACUCAAAUCUACCAACCUGGUUAAACGAAAUAGGGACCUAGGUCAAUGACGUUACAGAAAGGUACUACUUUGUAAUGGUAGACUACCACGAUUUCAUCGUGUAAAGACGAGAUACACACCAGGGUUCAAAACAAGCUACUUUUAGUGCCUCCUAUAAUCCUUUAUACGGCUACUUGUACCAAUGCCCUGUCAUCUCCUUCGACACUCCGUUCCUUACUCACUCUACUCACGACUUAAAAACCGUCGUUCUUUUUGUUAAUCACCGCUUGUUGUACCACUUCGACCUCCCCUUUAGAUACACGGUCUUUCGAUGCAUCAAGUCUUUAUUCUACAGGAACCGUCGGCAGACUAGGUUCACUACGUCUAAACCACCGAUCCAGCAAACAGUCGUCGUGAAGAUGGUAGAAGACAAUCCUCCACCAUUCGUCCUAUAUACGGAGUUAUUUCGAUGACGACGAAUCGCAGUCAAGAAUUACAGUAAUACCUAAUACCCAACAUUAUUUUCACUUGAGAUACAACACAAUGAAUACAAUAUUAACAGAAACGUAUAGUAAUACCCUAACGAUCACUACUUUCAACGUGGUCCCCACGAACAUAAGGGUUGCUAGAAUUCCGGGGAACCGGACCUAACAACGCUAUACCCGACUCUUUCAGGGAAACUUGGACUUGUCCUAUUACGGACGCUUCCCUCACACGUAAAGAUAAAAGUACAAAGGGUCCUAUGUGAGUUGGGAGCUGUAAGACCUUUAGCUCCCUGGUUCAAAAGGACUUACACACCUCGCGUGGACGACCUAUACGUACAAAGGAUGAGACUGCGUUGUACCAUUACAUGUGCUAAAGAAAUUGGUCGUAUGAAUAACCGUAAAGAGGUUCUCCUCUCCUAUAAAUGUCCGUAUCACAAUAGUACCUUGUGUAGUUUAAAUCAGUAGUACCUUGUGUAUUUUAAAUGGGUAGUGUUGAAAAAAAACUCCUUAGGGUAAUGUAGAACCUUUCGUAACUGUUACAGGACACAUUAAAUGAAAAAUGUGGAUAAGUACAUGUAUAAAGAUAUCAUCUUCAUAUUUUCUACGUUGAUCUGACUGUCUAACCUUACCAAUACAUGUACGGUGAACAGUCAACUCUUGUUUUAGUUGCCGUCUUGAGAAAGGCUGAACUAAUACACUUUACACAGAUGAUUCUUAAUAAAACAUCUCACUGACUCUAUGACGAAUAGCACUUGAUAAGGAAACCAACAAGGGUAACACUAACAGUUUGUAAAAGUUUAUGUAGUAUUUGAAAUUUGUAAGUACGUACGUAUUGACACAUAGAUGUAACAUUUUGAACCGUCGUGAAAUCACGACCUGACGACCCGGACGUAUCAAA